AUUAAAUAACUGGGGUGCCAAGUGGCUGAGAUUAUACCCGUUGAACCUGAUCUAGGUAAUGCUAGCGGAGGUAAUGAUUGACAUGCCGUU
rnacentral:ncRNA from 2 species